AGCAGGAAUUCGCUCGGAGACCAUUUCUGUGCCACAGGAAAUAAAAGCGUUGCAGCUGUGGAAUGAGAUAGAAGCACGACAUCCUGGAUUGGCUGAUGUCAGAAAUCAGGUGAUAUUUGCUGUCCGUCAAGAAUAUGUCGAGCUUGGAGAUCAAGUCCUCCAGCUUCGGUCGGGAGACGAAAUUGCCAUUAUCCCCCCCAUUAGUGGAGGGUAAUGCUCAUGAGCCACUUGGGGAAGAGCUGAAGGAAGUUGAAGAGUCAGCUAAAGAGAUAAUAAAAUUCACCACUGAGAAGCUGUCCAUAGAUGAAGCCUCACAGUUGGUGAUUUCUCCACUCUGUGGUGCAGUAUCCCUGUUUGUAGGGACUACAAGAAAUAACUUUGAAGGGAAAAAAGUCAUUAGCUUAGAAUAUGAAGCAUAUCUCCCAAUGGCAGAAACUGAAAUCAGAAAGAUCUGUAGUGACAUUCGGCAGAAAUGGCCAGUCAAACACAUAGCAGUGUUUCAUAGACUUGGCUUAGUUCCAGUGUCAGAAGCAAGCAUUAUCAUCGCUGUGUCCUCAGCCCAUAGGGCCGCAUCCCUCCAAGCUGUGAGCUAUGCCAUUGAUACUUUAAAAGCCAAGGUGCCCAUAUGGAAAAAGGAAAAGUAUGAAGAAUCGUCAUCAUCUUGGAAAAGAAACAAAGAAUGCUUUUGGACAACCAGUGAUUAAGUCACACAUUUUUUAAAGAAUACUAAAAUUAAAUUUGUUGUAUUUUAGUGUACGAUGCAUACCAGACACACUCACUGGUGGUAGUCCCAUGGUAAGCCGCCCUGACAGCUUGGUUCACCAGAACUGAGAUGGGCAAGGUUGAGGAAAGCGUUUGAGAGGUCACCUGAUCUGGGAAUGGGACACGUUUGUGCAUCGAUGUAGAUGGAAGCAUGUGCCACCCAACCUUUGCAUUAAUGUGCCGUCUCUACAGUGAGGGCCAGUCGAUACGUCACCUCGGACAACCUCAGAUGCUUUAUUUAUGAAAUAGGAACUUCGGUUUCUGGCACAGUUCCAUCGUCAAGUGACAGCAUUUGGAGUCCAGACUU